AUGUCUCCGUUCCGAGCAAUGUACAGUCAUGAACCUCGGCAGUGGGGAAUCACGGCAACAAGAGCCUGCUCAGUGCCCGCUCUACGCUCUUGGUUGGAUGAACGCGCAGUGGUACAUGACCUGCUGCAGCAGCACCUGAACCGAGCUCGCCAAGUUAUGAAACAGCAAGCUAACAAGAAGCGUUCGUUCCGGGUGUUUGAAGUGGGCGAUCUCGUCUACUUGAAGCUGCAACCGUACAUUCAAACGUCUGUAGCUCUGCGGGCAUACCAAAAACUCUCCUUCCGAUUCUUCGGACCCUACAGGAUCAUCGCUCAUGUGAAUGAUGUUGCCUACAAACUGCAGUUGCCGGAGCAUGCCCAAGUGCAUCCAGUCUUUCAUGUAUCACAGCUCCGGAAGGCCCUCGUUCCAGGUAUGAAAGUUUCCAGUGAUCUUCCUGUUCAUUCUGACAUUCCUGCGGUUCCUGUGAAAAUGCUGGAGGAGCGUUGGCUACGUCGCCGGGGGUCCAUGGUGGAGCAAGUUCUCGUUCGUUGGUCCAACCCAGUAGCUGUGCCUGAUUCUUGGCAGGACCGUGCAGCGCUCCAAGCUCGAUUUCCAGCAGCGGAGGCUUGGGGACAAGCCUCGUCUCAAGAAUGGGGGGAUGUCAGCACCCCUGGCCCACCGGGCAGUGACGGCCAGGGCUCGCCCCCGCUUCCCAGGCCGGUACGGGCUCGCAAGGUCAACAGGCGAGUGGCUGGGCCAGAGUGGGUGUAA
rnacentral:rRNA from 1 species